rnacentral:rRNA from 1 species
AUUGAACGCUGGCGGCAGGCCUAACACAUGCAGGUCGAACGGUAACAGGAAGCAGCUUGCUGCUUUGCUGACGAGUGGCGGACGGGUGAGUAAUGUCUGGGAAACUGCCUGAUGGAGGGGGAUAACUACUGGAAACGGUAGCUAAUACCGCAUAACGUCGCAAGACCAAAGAGGGGGACCUUCGGGCCUCUUGCCAUCGGAUGUGCCCAGAUGGGAUUAGCUUGUUGGUGGGGUAACGGCUCACCAAGGCGACGAUCCCUAGCUGGUCUGAGAGGAUGACCAGCCACACUGGAACUGAGACACGGUCCAGACUCCUACGGGAGGCAGCAGUGGGGAAUAUUGCACAAUGGGCGCAAGCCUGAUGCAGCCAUGCCGCGUGUAUGAAGAAGGCCUUCGGGUUGUAAAGUACUUUCAGCGGGGAGGAAGGGAGUAAAGUUAAUACCUUUACUCAUUGACGUUACCCGCAGAAGAAGCACCGGCUAACUCCGUG